rnacentral:lncRNA from 1 species
UAAUGAAAUCCAGAAUUUUACUUUUCUCUCAAAGCCUAGCUUAUCAAUAUGGAGGAGCUAAAGGUGGUGGAUCGGCCGCUAAAGGAGGUGGCGGCGGUUCUUCGGGGACGAUGAAGGCACCGGGAGGUGGCGGAGAAUCCAUCUCGAGGGCUGGAUUUGAGAGCAACCCUCAAGGCUACUUUUCUGGGCUGCAUGCUGCUGAUAAAGCAUCUAAAUAAUUAUAUAUCUAUAAAUUAUGGAUUAAUAUUUGGGAGUUUCUCGCACAUGUGUUAUCUAUAUGUAUCAUGUGCCCAACUCUUUUAUAUAUGAAUGGAUUAAACGUGGAUUAA